rnacentral:SRP_RNA from 1 species
UAAAUGCGUCUAUACAAUGCAAAUUUGUGAACUUGGUCAGAUCCGGAAGGAAGCAGCCAUAAGCAACCCUUUGCGUGUGUGUGGACGCUUUUUAUU